rnacentral:lncRNA from 1 species
CCAUAAUUGAAAAAUAAACAAACUAUUACAAGAAGGCUCCUAUGAUAUUAUGUUUGCAGUGUCUUCCUUAUCAAUCAAGCUAUUCGUGUCAACGUAUUUCGACAGUAAUGGGGCGCUUUAAUCGGUUUGUUAUUAAGGUGGUCGACAUGCUAUAGGUAGCAGUGUGUUAAUACCUAUAUAUUGUAAAUACCAACCCAUUUUAACCAACUGUGCGUUUAAUUCAAACGAAACGUUAAUUAUCAUUGAGAGAAGGGAUUUUAACAGACGACAGGAGAAGUGACCGAUUACAACGAGACAUUUGAUUGGUUGAAGUGCUCUUUCGGUUGAUCUUUGACCUCUUGUCGUUUUUUUUUUAUCAUUCAUUUAUUUUUUCAAACGUUUGCACCUGUCCAAUGAUACACAUAUCUUUCGAAUUUAGUAGUAUAUUGAAUGUAGAAGUCCCACGCAACAAAACCGAGCUGUGGAGCAUUUAAAGGAUUAAUUAAAUUUAUUUCGAUGGAUGUUUCGUUGCAGAACCUUUAAAACAGUGGCAUAUUUUCAAGUUAUAAUGUUUUAACUUUAAAGUGAUAUUUAAAAAAAAGAAGAAGAAAUGUGAAUUUUAUUUAAAUUAACUUGGGAUGUUUAUUUUCUCAUUACAAUGUUGGAUUAAUUGUUAACUAUGAUGAUUCAAGAGAUAAUUUCCACAGUAUUGUUACUAGCUGUGAUAAAGGUAUGGUAAAAUUUACA